rnacentral:rRNA from 1 species
AGAGUUUGAUCCUGGCUCAGGACGAACGCUGGCGGCGUGCCUAAUACAUGCAAGUUGAACGCAUUUUCUUUCACCGUAGCUUGCUACACCGAAAGAAAGUGAGUGGCGAACGGGUGAGUAACACGUGGGUAACCUGCCCAUCAGCGGGGGAUAACACUUGGAAACAGGUGCUAAUACCGCAUAAUUCCAUUUACCGCAUGGUAGAUGGGUGAAAGGCGCUUUUGCGUCACUGAUGGAUGGACCCGCGGUGCAUUAGCUAGUUGGUGGGGUAACGGCCUACCAAGGCUGCGAUGCAUAGCCGACCUGAGAGGGUGAUCGGCCACACUGGGACUGAGACACGGCCCAGACUCCUACGGGAGGCAGCAGUAGGGAAACUUCGGCAAUGGACGCAAGUCUGACCGAGCAACGCCGCGUGAGUGAAGAAGGUUUUCGGAUCGUAAAACUCUGUUGUUAGAGAAGAACAAGGAUGAGAGUGGAAAGUUCAUCCCUUGACGGUAUCUAACCAGAAAG